GGCCGCCUGGCGAAAUGGCAUCGCGUCUGACUACGAUACUGAGUUCUACGAACUCAAGUUCCAAAUCAGGAGAUUGCAGGUUCGACCCCUGCGGUGGUCA